rnacentral:misc_RNA from 1 species
GAAAUGCGAUAAGUAGUGUGAAUUGCAGAAUUCAGUGAAUCAUCGAAUCUUUGAACGCACAUUGCGCCCCUUGGUAUUCCAUGGGGCAUGCCUGUUCGAGCGUCAUUUGUACCAUCAAGCUCUGCUUGGUGUUGGGUGUUUGUCCCGUCUCCGCGCGUGGACUCGCCCCAAAGUGAUUGGCAGCCGGCGUACUGGUCCCGGAGCGCAGCACAUGUCGCGCAAACGAGUGCCUUGGUACGGCGGCGUCCAUAAGCCCCUCUCUCACGCUCUUGACCUCGGAUCAGGUAGGGAUACCCGCUGAACUUAAGC